GUCGCUUUCAGUCAGUCACAAAUGUUCGUGUUAGGAUGACGUUUGAUUUUGUGUAGGAUGUAUGAAUAGGCUGACUGUUGGGUUAUGACAGUGAAUUCGAAACAAUAUUCAGAUGCAGAAAUAUUAAAGGUUAAAGAUUCGAAGACACAAAGUAACGGACGAGGAAUAUUACAACGUUUUGAAACACUGCUUGAAAGUCGGCAGGACAAUUUAUCAUUGCACCAAAAGAAAUUCGUCAAGUGCCAGGUUUUCAUCACUGAGUGAGAUGGAGGCCUAUCAAGUCUGGCGAACAAUUUGCUAAAACACUGCGUAAAAGAGUUAUUACAUCAAACGGAAUCAACAUUGUUAAUAGUCUCGUGCAUCACGGAGUGAGAUGGCAGCCUAUAUAGUCGGAAGAGUAAAGAGCAAAGUGGCCAAAAUAAAAUUGAUUGAUUCUCCAUUACCGUAUAUUGCCCAUUCUCGUCUCUGAAAAUGCUUUUCAUCCAGAAUACAACACAGAAUAAACAACGCUCUCGGGCUAUGCGGAUCAAAGUACAUGAGCAAAACGCAUGGAUUUCAACCCCCCGUCAUCAUAUAGACAAAGGCUUUCGGUCUCACCAAAAAUACUUCCUAACCUGCUUCUUGCAUAUCAAUGACUGCUAAUAAGAGCCUUCUUGAAAUGAAAGCUUCAAAGACAAAAAAACGGAUUUUUGGCAAACUGAAUACUUAUAACGAGAGCAUUUAAGCAAUAUGAUGGAAAAAUAUUUACACGAAUGAAUUACAUAUAUAUAGAAUAUAUAUAUAGCUUUUUUAUGAUGCGUUAGAAUAUAUUUAUUUUUUCAAUUUUUUUUAAAUUUGCAAAUCCUUCGUAGCGAGUAAAUAAAGAAAAGUUAGGCCUGCUGUGUAUUUCAAUACCUUUCAUCAUCUAUUGUUAACAGUGCAUGUUAUUUGCCUGAAUCAA